rnacentral:lncRNA from 1 species
GGACAAUGAACAUUUCAUGGCUGUUAAGUGGGGGUUUGCUUUGUGCAGUGGUGGGAGAUCUUGAAGGUAAAAGUCACCACUUUAGCAUCUCCCAAUUUACAAGUAAAGGAAAAGUCAAAAAGAGAGAAAACCCAUUUAUCUUUAUGUCAUCUCAAUUUUCUUUGAAGAAUUUCGGCCCAGUAAAAUGAAAAGAUGUUUGCCAUCAAAGCUGUGUCUUUCCUGAUUUCUCUCAAGUCUGAACAAGAAAGAUCAACUACAUUCAAGAAGUGGGCAUGCAAACAGGGCAGAUGGCUUCCAGGCAGCCACAGGAUGUGCACCUCUGAACAGGCGGGCAAGCACAGGCACAUUUGCCCACCUUCCUCCAACAGCGCUGGCCUUAUUUCCAUAAUGCUGCGGAGAGCAAGGGCAACAGAAGUCUUCAGAAAGACCGCUAAACGUCAUUACAUGGAGGGCUAUGAAGAUUCUACUACUGUCACGAGGAACAAAAACCUUGAUCGUAGCAUUACUGCCUCUACAGGAUGGAUUUAAACCCAAGCGCUGUUGGCAGGCUCCUGCCGAGGUCCCCCCUCCCCGCCUCCUGACAGCUGAAGAAAUUCGGUGGAAGGACCGAUUCAACACGUUUGGCAGAUCCAGAUGGUGGGGGGAGUAGAUGACGGGAUGGCCACAGCCUCAGAAGAGCCCUUCUACAUCAGGAACGGUUUUCCUCUUCCGCGUGGAUAAGAAACAACAUUCCAGAAGGAGGAGGGACCCAGCAGGGGAGCCCUGGAGAAACCAUGCAGGCAGAUGCAGUCCCACGCAGGGACGGAACCGAAGCCAAAGAUCAGAAGCUCCUGCUUUCAAUUUUAAACUUCUAACGGAC